GAUGAACGCUGGCGGCGUGCCUAAUACAUGCAAGUCGAGCGAACAGACUAGGAGCUUGCUCCUCUUACGUUAGCGGCGGACGGGUGAGUAACACGUGGAUAACCUACCUAUAAGACUGGGAUAACUUCGGGAAACCGGUGCUAAUACCGGAUAAUAUAUUUAACCGCAUGGUUCAAUAUUGAAAGACGGUUUUGCUUUCCCUUAUAGAUGGACCCGCGACGCAUUAGCUAGUUGUUAAGGUAACGGCUUACCAAGGCAAGGAUGCGUAGCCGACCUGAGAGGGUGAUCGGCCAAACUGGAACGGAGACAGGGUCAAGACUCCUACGGGAGGCAGAAGUAGGGAAUCUUCCGAAAUGGGCGAAAGCCUGACGGAGAAACGCCGCGUGAGUGAGGAAGGUCUUCGGAUCGUAAAACUCUGUUAUUAGGGAAGAACAAAGGUGGAAGUAACUAUGCACGUCUUGACGGUAACUAAUCAGAAAGCCACGGCUAACUACGUG
rnacentral:rRNA from 1 species